AUGCUGUUAUCGAGAUACGGCCUAUACGCCAGUCAUGGAUGUGUCGUGAGAUCCGUAACGAACAGAAAACGCUUUGUUAUUAAAGGCAGGAUGGAAGAAAGGGGCAGAACAAUGAUAACAGACAAGCAAAAACAAUCUUUAAAACACUUUUUUGAAAAAGGAAUGAGAAGUGUUGGGUCUCCAUUGGUACAAGCAGCUGCUGAAACCACUGCGUUGCUGCCUUCUAUCAUAGAGGUAAGAUACAUUUUGUAGACCUGGCAAGCUUAAAGAAAGGAUCAGAGUAUGGCCUCAAGUAUGACCUCCAUAUUUUAGAUACUAGACAAUUUUAUCAAUAUCAAAGUUGAAUCUGAACUGUGCACAUUACUAAACAGGGACAAAUGCCAUUUGUCUGAACACUGUGGACAAUAUGAAUAAGAUUGUAAGAUGUUACACAGUAUACAAUAAAGUAGGGUAUAUGUUACA
rnacentral:lncRNA from 1 species